rnacentral:rRNA from 1 species
ACGGCCAUACCACAUUGAAAACGCCGGUUCUCGUCCGAUCACCAAAACCGAAGCAACGUCGGACCUGGUCAGUACUUGGGAGGGUGACCACCUGGGGUGCAGUAGGCU